rnacentral:rRNA from 1 species
CACGUAGGGCGCAAGCGUUGUCCGGAAUUAUUGGGCGUAAAGAGCUCGUAGGCGGUCUGUUGCGUCCGCUGUGAAAACUCGGGGCUUAACCCCGAGCCUGCAGUGGAUACGGGCAGACUAGAGGUAGGUAGGGGAGAAUGGAAUUCCCGGUGUAGCGGUGAAAUGCGCAGAUAUCGGGAGGAACACCAGUGGCGAAGGCGGCGACCUGGGCAGAUACUGACACUGAGGUGCGAAAGCGUGGGGAGCAAACAGG